AUUUUUGAUAAUUAGGAGUAAAUUUAUUGAAAAUUAAAUUGUUUGGCGGUAAGAAUUUAAUUUAGAGGAACUUGUUUAUUAAAAGAAUUUGCUCUAUAUAUUUUACUUGAUUUUGGUUAUUUAUCUCUGUUUGAAGAUUUUCUUUUUUAUUUUGUUUGAAAACUAUAAGUCAAGUCAAGAUGUACCUUUAUUAAGUUUAUAUUAGUUACAUUAAUUGGAUUUAUUUUGAAAUAAUUUUAUGAAAUUGAAUUUAUAUGUAUUGAUAUUUAUUAUGAUAUUGAUAAUUAAAAUUUUU
rnacentral:rRNA from 1 species